CUCCUCUGACUUCUGACUGCAAUUCAAUAAACACCGAGCUUUCAAAAUCUUGCUUAUGCAUGAGAAUAAGUACAUGCUGAUAAAGCUGCAUGGUAUGACAUGCUAAAGAGUUACCUCAUGCUUGGGUCCUAACAAGCACCACUAUAGGAUGCCCUGUGUAAUUGUACUGUAAAAAGAUUAACCCAAAAUGCAAUAAAGUAAAAUAACAACAAACAAGGGAAG
rnacentral:lncRNA from 1 species